rnacentral:rRNA from 1 species
CGUAGAAGACUAGUGUUAUUCAUCUUUAAUAGGUUUAAAGGGUACCUAGACGGUAUAAUUAGUCUUAAAUAAGAAACGAUUAUACUAGAGUUAUAUAUGAGAAGGGGAGUAUUUAUGGAGUAAAGUUGAAUUUUGAUCCCAUAGAGACUGGUAACGGCGAAGGCAACCUUUUAUCUAAUAACUGACGUUGAGGGACGAAGGCUCGGGUAGCGAACAGGAUU